rnacentral:tRNA from 11 species
GGGUCAGUACUCAAGAGGCUGAAGAGGACGCACUGCUAACGCGUUAGGGGAGUUAAAUCCCGCGCAGGUUCAAAUCCUGUCUGACCCGCCA